AGAUUGAACGCUAGCGGGAUGCUUUACACAUGCAAGUCGAACGGCAGCGCGGACUUCGGUCUGGCGGCGAGUGGCGAACGGGUGAGUAAUACAUCGGAACGUGCCCAAUCGUGGGGGAUAACGCAGCGAAAGCUGUGCUAAUACCGCAUAAGAUCUACGGAUGAAAGCAGGGGAUCGCAAGACCUUGCGCGAAUGGAGCGGCCGAUGGCAGAUUAGGUAGUUGGUGAGGUAAAGGCUCACCAAGCCUUCGAUCUGUAGCUGGUCUGAGAGGACGACCAGGCCACACUGGGACUGAGACACGGCCCAGACUCCUACGGGAGCAGCAGUGGGAUUUGGACAGUGGGCGAAAGCCUGAUCCAGCCAUCGCCGCGUCGCGAGGAUGGAACGGUCCGUUCGGGUUAUAACGUGUCGUUUUAGUACGGAACG
rnacentral:rRNA from 1 species